rnacentral:misc_RNA from 1 species
GAUGAAGAACGUAGUGAAAUGCGAUAAGUAGUGUGAAUUGCAGAAUUCAGUGAAUCAUCGAAUCUUUGAACGCACAUUGCGCCCCUUGGUAUUCCAUGGGGCAUGCCUGUUCGAGCGUCAUUUGUACCUUCAAGCUCUGCUUGGUGUUGGGUGUUUGUCUCGCCUCCGCGUGUAGACUCGCCUUAAAACAAUUGGCAGCCGGCGUAUUGAUUUCGGAGCGCAGUACAUCUCGCGCUUUGCACUCAUAACGACGACGUCCAAAAGUACAUUUUUACACUCUUGACCUCGGAUCAGGUAGGGAUACCCGCUGAACUUAAGCAUAUCAAUAAGCGGAGGA